rnacentral:lncRNA from 1 species
GCACGAUCUCAGCUCACGGCAACCUCCACCUCCCAGGUUCAAGCGAUUCUCCUGCCUCAGCCUCCUGUGUAGCUGGGAUUACAGGCAUGAGCCACCACGCCUAGUUAAUUUUUGUAUUUUUAGUAGAGACAGGGUUUCACCAUGUUGGCCAGGAUGGUCUUGAUCUCUUGACCUCGUGAUCCACCUGCCUCGGCCUCCCAAAGUGCUGGGAUUACAGGCGUGAGCCACUGUGCCCGGCCUUCCACCUCAUUUUCUCUCUCAUCAUUUUUUUCUCCAGCUUCCAGGAGCCGUCGUAGCAGCCGAUUAGGACUGGCUGCUGGUGUGGUGAUGACCUAGAGGGCUUCUCCCAGAGUCUCGCUCUGUGGCCCACGCCUGAGUGCAGUGGUGUGAUUUCCGCUCCCUCCAACCUCCGCCUCCUGGGUUCAAGCGAUUCUCCUGCCUCAGCCUCCUGAGUAGCUGGGAUGACAGGUAUGCACCACCACGCCCCACUGUUUUUGUAUUUUUAGUAGAGACGGGGUUUCACUAUGAUGGCCAGGCUGUGAAUUGCCUAUUCUUAUCUUCUGCACAUUUGUCUAUUGUCGGUCUUUUUCUCGUCGAUUUACAAGCAUUCCUUUUUUCAUUCUGAAUAUUAAUCCAUUGCUUUCUGAUGCUGUAACUAAGUCCUCCUAGUGGUUUGUCUUCUUGGUUAAGCCAGAUGUUAACUUGGAUUUUUCCUGCAUAAAACUGAAGACUCAAGAUGUAUCAAGCACUGUAUACAGAAAAGUGCUGCGUAUCCUACAGAAAGCUACAGACAGUUGGGGGUCAGAAUCAUUCGGAUUGUUUCAAGUUUGG